rnacentral:snoRNA from 7 species
ACGGUCUGGGAAAAGGCUCCUGUGUGGCUGUACCCGCCCGAGGUGGGUGCAGCCCCGUACCAGACAGCCCGACCUUGACCUAAAGUAAAAUCCCAGAGGAGGAGGAACCUCUUCCCUGGGGUUAGAAUUUGCAGUAACAGGUGUGGACAUCCUAGCAGCAGUUUGGUGGUCAUGUAUGAUACUGCAAACAGGA